rnacentral:rRNA from 1 species
UUUAGAGUUUUGAUUUCCCCGCUCAGGACGAACGCUGGCGGCGUGCCUAAUACAUGCAAGUCGAACGCUUCUUUCCUCCCGAGUGCUUGCACUCAAUUGGAAAGAGGAGUGGCGGACGGGUGAGUAACACGUGGGUAACCUACCCAUCAGAGGGGGAUAACACUUGGAAACAGGUGCUAAUACCGCAUAACAGUUUAUGCCGCAUGGCAUAAGAGUGAAAGGCGCUUUCGGGUGUCGCUGAUGGAUGGACCCGCGGUGCAUUAGCUAGUUGGUGAGGUAACGGCUCACCAAGGCCACGAUGCAUAGCCGACCUGAGAGGGUGAUCGGCCACACUGGGACUGAGACACGGCCCAGACUCCUACGGGAGGCAGCAGUAGGGAAUCUUCGGCAAUGGACGAAAGUCUGACCGAGCAACGCCGCGUGAGUGAAGAAGGUUUUCGGAUCGUAAAACUCUGUUGUUAGAGAAGAACAAGGACGUUAGUAACUGAACGUCCCCUGACGGUAUCUAACCAGAAAGCCACGGCUAACUACGUGCCAGCAGCCGCGGUAAUACGUAGGUGGCAAGCGUUGUCCGGAUUUAUUGGGCGUAAAGCGAGCGCAGGCGGUUUCUUAAGUCUGAUGUGAAAGCCCCNGGCUCAACCGGGGAGGGUCAUUGGAAANCUGGGAGACUUGAGUGCAGAAGAGGAGA